rnacentral:tRNA from 1 species
GGCAGUGUGGUAGAGUGGUUUGAGUAUCAGACUAUGAUUCUGGAGAUGAGGGUUUGAAUCCCUGUUCAGCCA